rnacentral:rRNA from 1 species
AUUGAACGCUGGCGGCAUGCUUUACACAUGCAAGUCGAACGGUAACAGGUUAAGCUGACGAGUGGCGAACGGGUGAGUAAUGCAUCGGAACGUGCCCGGUCGUGGGGGACAACGCAGCGAAAGCUGCGCUAAUACCGCAUACGAUCUGAGGAUGAAAGCGGGGGACCGUAAGGCCUCGCGCGAUCGGAGCGGCCGAUGUCAGAUUAGGUAGUUGGUGGGGUAAAGGCUCACCAAGCCAACGAUCUGUAGCUGGUCUGAGAGGACGACCAGCCACACUGGGACUGAGACACGGCCCAGACUCCUACGGGAGGCAGCAGUGGGGAAUUUUGGACAAUGGGCGAAAGCCUGAUCCAGCAAUGCCGCGUGCAGGAAGAAGGCCUUCGGGUUGUAAACUGCUUUUGUACGGAGCGAAAAGGUCUCCUCUAAUACAGGGGGCUCAUGACGGUACCGUAAGAAUAAGCACCGGCUAACUACGUGCCAGCAGCCGCAGUAA